rnacentral:lncRNA from 1 species
CCGGUCCUGGCCCCAUGGCACCAGAGCCAGACCGAGGCUCCUGCGGUGGAGGACUGGGUUCAGCACUCCAAGGAGACCUGGAAAGCAGUACAGGACUCACUGAGGGAGGCCAGUGCUAGGCAGAAAAGGAGUGCUGACCGCCACCACAGUGAGGCGCCGGUGUUCGCACCGGGUGACAGGGUCUGGCUCUCGACCCGGAACCUGUCCCUCCGCGUGCCCUGCCGGAAGCUGGGGCCGCAGUGUGUGGGGCCCUUCAAAGUCCUGAGGAGGAUAAACGAGAAAAAAGCAAAAAGUGACCAGCUUCCAGACCAAAAUGCCAUUUAUUCAGUCAGAGAAUUCUAAGAGCCAGAGUCAGAGAGUCCUGUAGUAACAGGAGCGGUCGAGGACAGCGUACCCCUUACGAGACCCACAUGUACGAGAUUAAAAAGUGUUAUAAACCAAAUAAAAAUGUUUGCGUCUUGACAGCCCCACCGUGG